UACGGAGGGGGCAAGCGUUGUUCGGAUUUAUUGGGCGUAAAGAGCGUGUAGGCGGCCAGAUAGGUCAGCUGUGAAAACUCGAGGCUCAACCUCGAGAUGUCGGCUGAAACCAUCUGGCUAGAGUCCGGAAGAGGAGAAUGGAAUUCCCGGUGUAGCGGUGAAAUGCGCAGAUAUCGGGAAGAACACCCGUGGCGAAGGCGGUUCUCUGGGACGGUACUGACGCUGAGACACGAAAGCGUGGGGAGCGAACAGG
rnacentral:rRNA from 1 species